rnacentral:rRNA from 2 species
UUGGAGGGCAAGUCUGGUGCCAGCAGCCGCGGUAAUUCCAGCUCCAAUAGCGUAUAUUAAAGUUGUUGCAGUUAAAAAGCUCGUAGUUGAACUUCGGGAUCAAUGGAUUGGUCAUGCCGUUGGUAUGUACUGGUCAUAUUGGUUCUCACCUUCUAAGGAACCAUAAUGUCAUUCAUUUGAUGUUUUGGGGAAUUAGGACUGUUACCUUGAAAAAAUUAGAGUGUUUAAAGCAGGCUAACGCUUGAAUACAUUAGCAUGGAAUAAUGAAAUAGGACAUCGCAUUCUAUUUUGUUGGUUUCUAGGAUCGAUGUAAUGAUUAAUAGGGAUAGUUGGGGGCAUUAGUAUUCAAUUGUCAGAGGUGAAAUUCUUGGAUUUAUUGAAGACUAACUACUGCGAAAGCAUUUGCCAAGGAUGUUUUCAUUAAUCAAGAACGAAAGUUAGGGGAUCGAAGACGAUCAGAUACCGUCGUAGUCUUAACCAUAAACUAUGCCGACUAGGGAUCGGAUGAUGUUGAUUUUUUAAUGACUCAUUCGGCACCUUACGGGAAAC